rnacentral:rRNA from 2 species
UGGGGAAUAUUGCACAAUGGAGGGAACUCUGAUGCAGCGACGCCGCGUGAACGAAGAAGGCUUUCGAGUCGUAAAGUUCUUUUAUAUGGGAAGAUAAUGACGGUACCAUAAGAAAAAGCCCCGGCUAACUACGUGCCAGCAGCCGCGGUAAUACGUAGGGGGCUAGCGUUGUCCGGAAUCACUGGGCGUAAAGGGUUCGCAGGCGGAAAUGCAAGUCAGGUGUAAAAGGCAGUAGCUUAACUACUGUAAGCAUUUGAAACUGCAUAUCUUGAGACGAGUAGAGGUAAGUGGAAUUUUUAGUGUAGCGGUGAAAUGCGUAGAUAUUAAAAAGAAUACCGGUGGCGAAGGCGACUUACUGGGCUCAUUCUGACGCUGAGGAACGAAAGCGUGGGUAGCAAACAGG